rnacentral:rRNA from 1 species
GACGAACGCUGGCGGCGUGCUUAACACAUGCAAGUCGAACGAAGAGCGAUGGAAGCUUGCUUCUAUCAAUCUUAGUGGCGAACGGGUGAGUAACGCGUAAUCAACCUGCCCUUCAGAGGGGGACAACAGUUGGAAACGACUGCUAAUACCGCAUACGAUCUAAUCUCGGCAUCGAGGAUAGAUGAAAGGUGGCCUCUACAUGUAAGCUAUCACUGAAGGAGGGGAUUGCGUCUGAUUAGCUAGUUGGAGGGGUAACGGCCCACCAAGGCGAUGAUCAGUAGCCGGUCUGAGAGGAUGAACGGCCACAUUGGGACUGAGACACGGCCCAGACUCCUACGGGAGGCAGCAGUGGGGAAUCUUCCGCAAUGGACGAAAGUCUGACGGAGCAACGCCGCGUGAGUGAUGACGGCCUUCGGGUUGUAAAGCUCUGUUGAUUGGGACGAAAGGCCUUCUUGCGAAUAGUUAGGAGGAUGGACG